CCCAUUCACAUUCGUCUUCUGUAUAUUUUGGAUUUCCGAUAUUGCUUUUUUUAUUUUUGCAAAUCUAAUUUUAUUUGAACCAAUCAGACGACUUGUUUCAACAAGCAUUUGGCUGAACAAUCAGAAUAGUGUCGAAUGUCAAAGGAUGAGAAAAAUGUGCAGUCAAGCCACCCGGGACCCCUGGCUUACAGGGUGAGUGCCCUACCGACUGAGGUAACCGGCUGUCUGACACCUUGCAUGACCAAGUCCGUACCAUGACAUAUGAUCUCUCAAAACACGAGGGGUAGUCACAAUGUGGUUGUCAUAAGAAUUGUAAAUAUUAAAAAUCCAGGCUAAAUAUAGAUUUUUAGCUCGACUAUUCAUAGAAUAGUGAGCUAUUGCACUCGCCCAUGCGUCCGCGUCCGCGUCCCGAUUUUGGUUAAGGUUUUGUAUGUAAGCUGGUAUCUCAGUAACCACUUGUGGGAAUGGAUUGAAACUUCACACACUUAUUCACUGUGACAAACUGACUUACAUUGCACAGGUUCCAUAACUCUAUUUUGCUUUUUUACAAAAUUAUGCCCCUUUUUCGACUUAGAAAUUUUUGGUUAAGGUUUUGUAUGUAAGCUGGUAUCUCAGUACUUACUAAUGGGAAUGGAUUGAAACUUCACAUACUUGUUCACUAUCAUGAUCUGACAUGCACUAAGCAAGUCCCAUAACUCUACUCUCUUUUUUUUUCAAAAUUAUGCCCCUUUUUCGACUUAGCAGUUUUUGGUUAAAUUUUUGUAUGUAAUCUGAUAUCUCAG